GACGAACGCUGGCGGCGUGCUUAACACAUGCAAGUAGAACGGAAAGGCCCUGCUUUUGUGGGGUGCUCGAGUGGCGAACGGGUGAGUAACAAGUGAGUAACCCGCCCUUGCCUGUGGGCUAACUUCAGGUAACUGGGGCUAAUACCGGAUAGGAGCUCCUGCUGCAGGGUGGGGGUUGGAAAGUUUCGGCGGUUGGGGAUGGACUCGCGGCUUAUCAGCUUGUUGGUGGGGUGGUGGCUUACCAAGGCUUUGACGGGUAGCCGGCCUGAGAGGGUGACCGGCCACAUUGGGACUGGGAUACGGCCCGGACUCCUACGGGAGGCAGCAGUGGGGAAUAUUGCACAAUGGGCGGAAGCCGGAUGCAGCAAGGCCGCGUGCGGGAUGACGGCCUUCGGGUGGUAAACCGCUUUCGCCUGUGACGAGGCGUGAGUGACGGUAAUGGGUAAAGAAGCACCGGCUAACUACGUG
rnacentral:rRNA from 1 species